rnacentral:lncRNA from 1 species
AAUAGAACAAGGUAACACAAAUAAAAGUCAUAUUGUUGCAGCAAUAUUAAAGUGAGCUCACGCCCAGAGAUCCUCCCUCGUCUCCCUGCGAGGAAGCAAUCCCGAGGCAACUAAUUCCAGUGAAGUAACAAUUGUAGUUGUAUAAGAUCAGGGCACAACUCCAAGUCGUCAUGUAACCGUGGACACGGCUAUUCGAAUAGUUAAUUUUCAUCCCUGCAGGGGUGCACCACAUGUCCCAUCACGCUCGAUAACACUCUGGCCGGACACACUUUUCUCGGUUAUGCCCGACCUCGGAAUAUCGACACGUCGCAGCCCCACCUAAGACUCAACAGAGAGGCCAACCCGCCGGUCUAACUCCUAAGCACAAAGGGUUCAUGGGCCCAGUUCCCCUUCGCGCUCCUGCAUGAUGUGUGGGCGGCCGACGUCAGUCCUAGCAUCCCUCAAUCACAAGCGCGAUGCAUCUCGGGACCACUCGGGCGCGCGCUGCUACGUUAGUGCGAAAAGGUCUCC